GGGCGCUCAGAGGGAGAGCUGCGCGGCCUUCCAGGCAGAAGGAACACCGUGUCCAAACGCACAGAAGCGUGAAAGCCCCCACGAGUGCUUUGACGUUGUGGUGGGUCAAGUCUACCUGAUGAGGCGAACAGGGAACUCUUCGGGGAGAAAAUCCUGCCUGUCAAUCUCAUAUUCUCAGUUCCCUUCUAUCAGAUGGGGGCUUAUUGUGCUGCCUCAUACCCACUAAAGGGCGUGAAACCCAGAAUUCUCACUAUGUCUUUUAAUGUAGUUAAAGAUUGGGCCUUCGAGAUGGCUCAGUGGGUAAAGACGCUGCCAAGUUUGCUGACCUGAGUUCGAUCUUCUGGACCUUGGAAGGAGAGAAUGGAACCCUGCAGGUUGUUCCUCUGAUUUGUACAUGCGUGCACACACGUAAUUUCAAUAAAUAACUGAUAGCUCUA
ensembl:lincRNA Gm15627 predicted gene 15627